UACGUAGGGUGCGAGCGUUAAUCGGAAUUACUGGGCGUAAAGCGUGCGCAGGCGGUUUUGUAAGACUGUCGUGAAAUCCCCGGGCUUAACCUGGGAAUGGCGAUGGUGACUGCAAGGCUAGAGUUUGGCAGAGGGGGGUAGAAUUCCGACGUGUAGCAGUGAAAUGCGUAGAGAUGUGGAGGAACACCGAUGGCGAAGGCAGCCCCCUGGGUCAAGACUGACGCUCAUGCACGAAAGCGUGGGGAGCAAACAGG
rnacentral:rRNA from 1 species